GGCUAUAUCGAAUUGAAACACCGGUUCUAGUACGAACACCAAAGUUAAGCAACGUCAAGCCUGGUCAGUACCUAGAUAGGUGACAGCUUGCGAAUGAAUACUUGGUGCUGUA